UACGAAUGGGGCAAGCGUUGUUCGGAAUCACUGGGCUUAAAGCGUAUGCAGGCGGAUUUGCAAGUCAGAAGUGAAAUCCCCGGGCUCAACCCGGGAAUUGCUUUUGAAACUGCAAAUCUAGAAUCCCGGAGAGGUUAGUAGAAUUCCGAGUGUAGAGGUGAAAUUCGCAGAUAUUCGGAGGAAUACCAGUGGCGCAAGCGACUAACUGGACGGGCAUUGACGCUCAGAUACGAAAGCGUGGGUAGCAAACAGG
rnacentral:rRNA from 1 species